UACCGGUUUCUUUUAUGUGGUGUCGUUGUUACAUACUACACCGGUUUUAAUUAAAAUCAACCACACCGGUUAAAAACCGGUUUUAUAUUAUAAUUUAAAAAAAAAAAUUAAACAUGAAAAUACAAAACAAAUAAGAAAAAACUAUAUGAAUUAAACAUUAGUUUUCUUCUUGGUGCCCUAGCGUAACUCCAUCAGCCCUCGCCAUCCUUCCUGCGCCGCCCUAUCCAGCGCCUCGCCUCUCUCCCCCGCCGACCUCCCUGCGCCGCCCCGCCCUAUCCAACGCUCGCUUCUCUCCCCCGCCGACCUCCCUGCGCCGUCCCGUCCUAUCCAACGCCUCGCUUCUCUCCCCCGCCGACCUCCCCGACAUCGCCCUGCCUUGCGUCGUCUCUUCUCUGCUGCCCGACCUCAAUCUUUAGCGCCCUAGCUAGUCGACCUCUAGAACUGUAUCUUGUCGGAGCCGUCCUCUUCUUCUCUGGUCACCGCCACCACGUCUCAGAGCCUCCAAGGCAAGCCAGAAACAGGCUCAAAUUUUCGAUAUUCAUGCUUGCAAUGGAGUAGUAGAAAAAAAUGAAUGUUUUGACUUGUCGAACCUACAUAAAUCUUCUCCUGCUGCAUUAAGAUGCUGGCCUCUAAAUCAUCUGCUUUUGAAUGCAUCAUUUUCUAAUAUAACUUUGAGGCAAAUGUAGAUUGCAAUUGCUAUAGUUAUGAUGUUCGAAAAAUGAAUGAGGCGAGAUGUGUGCAUAGAGAUCAUGUUUCUGCAGUAAUGGAUAUUGAUUAUUCACCAACUGGCCGUGAGUUUGGAACUGGAUCUUAUGAUAGAACUAAGAAGAGAUGGGUGGAACUGAGCAGGAAAAUGAUUAAAUGAAAGUCAAAUAGUUAAAAAUGGGUGGGAGAUUUGGGUCAAAGAGUGAGCAAGGGUAGGAGAGGGUCUUUUGUGUGAAGUUCAGGAAGGCCAAAGCGUCCGAGCAACUGGAGAGAAAGAGAUAGGAGAAAGAACAUUAAGGCAUUAUAUUGAAUGGUGGUUUGGAAGCAAAGGGAAGAAAGAAAAAGUUAAGGCUUGAAGAACAUUGCAUCUUUGGAGCUUGAUUUUGAAUUUCUUAUUAGAUUUCGAAAAAUUAUUAGUUAGAUUUAUAGUUGAAACUUGAUCCAAGAUAUUUUAGAUGAUUUUAAUGAAUGUUGAUGAUAAUUGAUUGUGUAAUUUUGUAUUUGUUGUUUAUUAUUUUUAAUAUUAAUUUUAUUUUAUUUUAUUUAAAAA